AAGCCCAGGGACUACCUAUACUGAGAGGAGAGACCGUGGAAGAGCCGACUCCAUUUAUGCUGCUUCCCACUCUGGGUUCCCAGUCCCAUCUAUCUUUCCUACUGGGGGUACACCUCCAUAGAGAGCUCUCUGAUUUAAUAAAUACACUGCAUCUUGAAGGGUAGCACUCUGUCCUUUCAGGGUGUUGCCUCAGAGAUGGUGCAUCAGGGCACUGUGCAGAGAGGAGCAUUUCAGUAUUCUGUGACACCCACUGCCUGUGGGUGCACUACGUGACAUCAAGCAGUGCAUCCAUGACCAUGGGCUCAUUUCCAUACCUCGUUCACUGUGAAGUGAGACCCUGGUCACUUGUCAUGCUCGGUGGGAUUCCAUGUGUGUGGAUCGGACAAUCCUUAGGACCAUCGGGGGCAAAAAGUACCAGGAUAAAGAUAAUGGAAAUCAUAUUGAGAAUAUAGAGGUUGUCAGUGUACAGUAACAGGCAAGCUGAGUGGUAAAUCAAAGGAAAAGAAAAAGGAAUCUGUAGAAUCAGAAAGAUAAUCUUGUUCUGUCAUCUUGGAUAGAAGCUAUCCAUUUUCAAAAUCUGCAAAUUCUGGAAAACUCCUAAGAAUCCUCAGCCUGAGGUUUCCUAAUGGAAUGGAUGUCUUUUAGUCAGGAGAAAGUGGUGUAUGUUUUUCCAGUUGGCAAACGUCUCCAAAGAUGAACACGUUGGAGUUUUAUGCUGUCAAUUGUUAACUGGCUGAUAAGACCCUUUCCACUGAGGCUCAAGGGCAGUUUUUCUCUGAUGUCUUUUCAGAAACCACAUCUCCGCGUUUCAGAUCAUGCAUGCAGAUGCUGCUUAGAGACCCACACAGGGCCGGGUGCAGGGAAAUAUUUAGAAAAACAAAUGUUGAGCAGAAUGGCAUGGUGCCCACCUUGCCUGCAGUGGGCUCGCUCUCAGCCAGCAGUCGUGGGUCUGUGCUGUAGCAUGCACUGCUUCAGUCCUGAGACACUGGCCGCUUUCCAGGGCAGUACUCACUGCCUGAUGUAGCCAGAGGAAUGCCUGCCGCGGAGGAGCACAUUCCCGUCCAGUGUGCAAAUGGGAGUGAAAUCACUGCAGCUUCCUGUGGGGAGUCAAACGCUAUGACCCCAACCCCAACAGGAAGAUGCUGGCGGAUACGUUAUUAGAAAUGGAUUAUCCAGAAUGCAGAGUCCUUGCAUCUAACCCUAGCCAGGGUCAUUGGAGUGCAGUUUUAUCUUUUCCUUUGACUUCCAAGAGAUUGCAUGUGUAAGAGAAGUUUUCUUACAUCCUCACUGCCUCGACGGUGGAAUGGGCUGCCAUGGGAAGUCAUGAGUUCCCUGCCUGGGGUGCUGGAUAACUAAUUGGCAGAGAUGUGGAGGUGGGAAGGAGGACUCCCAGCCCCAAGAUGCGAUGAGUCUUUCGUGCCCAUUGUCCCUAGGACGCUGCCAGAGGUGUGCAAUUUGAUGCAAAUUUCGCAAUGCAGCUUUGAGGUUAGUGAUGCAAGUUCAUUCAGGAGAAAACCCUGGCUGGUGAGAUGGACCCCAGGCUGUGCUGGCUCUCGAAGGGCCUGACUCAUGCUUCACAGCCCCUGCCAGCAUUUCAGAGGGAAGCGAUGUCUCUCAUUCUUCUUCCUCCGCUCAUCCCCUAAAGUUCUAGUGCCGCGGAUUUCAUUACCUCUCUCCUGGACCUUGCCGCCUGGUCCAUGCCUGGUCCCGUUGUGCCAGCUCCUUUUUCUGACCUCCACACUGUGCUGCUUCCAGAGUGACUAUCCUUCAACCUAGCUGGGAUCGUGUCACUCCCCUCCAGACAAACAAGCAUACAAGUAAAACUUACAAAGACUGCCAACACCAAGCGUUGGCAAGGAUAUAGAGCAACCAGAACUCUCAUGCACUGCUGUGCAAAUGGACAAACACCUUUGGAAGACUAGCAGUAUCUAGUCAAGUAGAUAUAUGCAUACCUGACGACCCAGGAAUUCCACUCCUAGGUAGGUACCCAACAGGUACAUCCAUAAAAACUCCAAAGGACAUGUGCAAGAAGGUUUACAGCCCCCAACUGGACACUAUACAAUGUUCCUUAAUAAUCGUGAUACAUUCAUACAAGCGGUAUUAGCAACACUAAAGAACAAACUACAAUGAUGUAUAGCAGCAUGGAUAAGUCUUAAAACAUGCUGAGUGAAAGAAGCCAAGUGCAAAAAAAUAGGGAAAACUAAUUUAUGGUGUUAAAGUCCGGAGAGCGGUUUCUCUUGUGAUUGGGGAGUUCCUAAAAGGGGGCCAAAAGGGAUUCCUGGAGUUUUAGUCGCGAUUUGUAUCUUUAUCUGGCUGCUACUUAUAUAGGUGUGAUCAGUUUGUGAAAAUGUUUGCACUUUCUGUAUGGAUGUUAUACUUAAAUAAAAAGUUUAUUAAAACACGCCCACCCACACAUACACACCAAAACAAAAUUUCUUCCAUGUUCCUCAUACCCAGAGAAAACAUUUCCAAACUCUAGCAGAACGUUCAAUGUUCUCUGAAAUGACCCAGUCUACCAGGACACCUCCUUUCCACCUGUGGCAUGUGUGCCAUCCACACUGGAUCACUCCCUAUUUCUCCUCACACAUCUCUGGGCCUUUGCUUUUGCAGUUCCUGCAGCCUGGAAUUCCUCUCACUCUCUGGCUCCAUGCUGAAAAUGCCACCUCCUCUGUGAGGCCUCUCCUGAUUUCUCAGACCAAACAGAUCUCUCCUGGUGUUGCAUUCCCAAGAUAUGCUGCUUUCCCCUCUCUCAUGGCUCGCAGCUCUCUCUGCUUGCAUGUGUUUCCGUGACUGGAGGUAUACUUCUGAAGUUAUAG